rnacentral:rRNA from 1 species
AUUGAACGCUGGCGGCAGGCUUAACACAUGCAAGUCGAGCGGGGUGAUGGUGCUUGCACUAUCACUUAGCGGCGGACGGGUGAGUAAUGCUUAGGAAUCUGCCUAUUAGUGGGGGACAACAUCUCGAAAGGGAUGCUAAUACCGCAUACGUCCUACGGGAGAAAGCAGGGGAUCACUUGUGACCUUGCGCUAAUAGAUGAGCCUAAGUCGGAUUAGCUAGUUGGUGGGGUAAGGCCUACCAAGGCGACGAUCUGUAGCGGGUCUGAGAGGAUGAUCCGCCACACGGGGACGAAGACACGGCCGAGACUGCUAAGGGAGGCAGCAGUGGGGAAUAUUGGACAAUGGGGGGAACCCUGAUCCAGCCAUGCCGCGUGUGUGAAGAAGGCCUUAUGGUUGUAAGGCACUUUAAGCGAGGAGGAGGCUCUUUUGGUUAAUACCCAAGAUGAGUGGACGUUACUCGCAGAAUAAGCACCGGCUAACUCUGUGCCAGCCGCCGCAGUAA